GGAGGAAAGUAGGGGAUCGCAAGACCUCAUGCUCGUGGAGCGGCCGAUAUCUGAUUAGCUAGUUGGUAGGGUAAAAGCCUACCAAGGCAUCGAUCAGUAGCUGGUCUGAGAGGACGACCAGCCACACUGGAACUGAGACACGGUCCAGACUCCUACGGGAGGCAGCAGUGGGGAAUUUUGGACAAUGGGCGAAAGCCUGAUCCAGCAAUGCCGCGUGAGUGAAGAAGGCCUUCGGGUUGUAAAGCUCUUUUGUCAGGGAAGAAACGGUGAGAGCUAAUACCUCUUGCUAAUGACGGCACCUGAAGAAUAAGCACCGGCUAACUACGUGCCAGCAGCCGCGGUAAUACGUAGGGUGCAAGCGUUAAUCGGAAUUACUGGGCGUAAAGCGUGCGCAGGCGGUUUUGUAAGUCUGAUGUGAAAUCCCCGGGCUCAACCUGGGAAUUGCGUUUGAAACUACAAAGCUAG
rnacentral:rRNA from 1 species